AGCUGUGGUCCACGUCUGCGAACUGGAAGGUUUCUAGAAAGGAGGGCGAGGAGGAGGGGAGCCGCGCCCUGCAGCCCCUCUGCUUCAGCGAGCUUGCUUCCAUUCUGUCUGUUGGCCUACAUUCAUCCCAGGGCCAGCGUCGAGGUCUCCAGGGUAUCCCUCACUUUUGCGUCGACCUGCAGGGCACAGGGGACUGUCAGCUCCAAGGGUAUGUGGGACGCGUAGGCACGCCCAGCCUCCGACUACCUCCUGGGUGCUGGACAGCGUCUGCACUCUGUCAGCCAGCUGCUUCAUCAGAGCCUCCAGCUUCGCCCGCCGCUCCUCACAGUCCUCCAUCUGCAGCUCCAGGUUCUCCCCGGUGCUCCUCUGAGCCAGAAACCGGCCAGCGAUGUCCUGGCGUGGCCAGUGUGGGGAGAAGCCGGUGUGGGCCGGGUGGGCACAGGCCCCACAGAACUGGUUUCUUCUGGGGCCCUCCCCAUGGUCAGGAAUGAUGCUGACUGCGGCCAGGCACGGGGAAGGCACUUUCCGUGAGUCAGCACAUAUGACCCACGCUACAAGCAGAGAGGGCAGACGGCCCGAGGCAGAGACAAGGAGACCACCCCUGAAAGACUGCCUAGCUUUGAGCCCUUUGUCCGAGGAUGGACAAGCUUAUGUCAGGGCCGCAGACGGGAGUUAAAGCUUACUAAGAAUAAACCCAGAUCGGAUUAAACAGAAGGGCCAGGCAGAGAUGGCCUCUCAUUGUGGUACUAGGGGUUUGGGAAGAGACGGAGUUGUAGGUAGAAGUCCCAGCACUUAGAGCCUCGAAUCCCAGCAGGCUCCGUGCAGCCUCUGGGACAUGACCUGGAUAUGCUAGAGUGCUAUUUGCAGCUGUGGGGGCCGCAGCACUGUGUCCCUUCAUUCACAAGCUCAGCUGGGCCUUGGGCUGGGGCAGGGGCUCCCUGCCUUCCAUCCACCCCCAAGAGAGCCAGGGAGCAGUACCCAGAGGUGGGAGCACCGCACAG